UACGUAGGGGGCAAGCGUUGUCCGGAAUCAUUGGGCGUAAAGCGCGUGUAGGCGGCUCGAUAAGUCUGCUGUGAAAGUCCAGGGCUCAACCCUGGGAUGCCGGUGGAUACUGUCGAGCUCGAGUCCGGAAGAGGCGAGUGGAAUUCCUGGUGUAGCGGUGAAAUGCGCAGAUAUCAGGAGGAACACCAAUUGCGAAGGCAGCUCGCUGGGACGUGACUGACGCUGAGACGCGAAAGCGUGGGGAGCAAACAGG
rnacentral:rRNA from 1 species